UAAAUGACCAAAAACUAGCCCUGCAUGGUACCCGUGUAUAAAAUCUACAUUCUGUACCAUUUGCGUUUAGUCAUAAUUUGACUAGUAUACCAUGUAAAUAUUGUAUUGCUGUAACACUUGAAUUUGCACAAAAGAUAUCAUUACAUAUGAUUAUUCUUAUUGUUUUGGAGUGCCUGUUGUGGUCUUUUUCACCAGUAUAAAGUAAUCAUAGCAGGCUGCAGUUGUUUCACUGUUCAUAUUUUCAAAAACUGUUUAAAAAAAGAUCUACUUAUGGAUGCAUUAAUGUAGUAAGUUUAUUCACACACA